AUGCGAGUGAAGGAUACUUUCUUCCAUAGGGUGAAGUUUAGUGUUGGGGACGGCUCAACAAUAAGGUUCUGGGAGGAUACGUGGUUAGGUGAUAGGCCGCUAGCUCUCCAGUAUCCUUCUCUGUAUCAUAUUGCUCAACGUAAGGAAGAGUACGUGGCAACGGUGAUGCAGACAGUACCCUUGAAUAUCCAGUUCAGGAGAUCUCUAGUUGGGGAACGCUGGACUUCUUGGCUGCACUUAGUGAGGAGGCUAAUGGAGGUGCACCUUUCCGAUGGGGAGGAUUCUUUUAGAUGGAAGCUCACGAAUAAUGGCUUGUUCACAGUCAAGUCUAUGUACUUAGAUCUCAUCAACUCU
rnacentral:rRNA from 1 species